CCUGAUCCAGCAAGGCUCCUCUCAUGUUCUUAGGUUCUUAUGGGGACCUUCCAAAAAGAGGUGGGAAGAAAGUCUGCCAAAAUCAGAGCCCACGAGUCCUGCCGUUGUAGGGCCCUCCAACAUAAAAACUGACUUCACAGGGAAAGGAGAGGUGCCUGAUGGGAAUGAGGACGACAAUAAAGAGAAACGCCUACUGAUUGAGCAGUGGGUUGACUUCAACUUGGAAGAAAACAAGGAAAAAGACAUUCAUUCCAACUCCAGGAAUCAAAAUUCCAUCACNUGGAUUUUACUGAUAUUGUUCAUCAUCCAGAUUGUGGGUUUGGUAACAACCAUCUUUGUUUUCACAAAGGCUAAACCCAGUCUUCCAGUUGNGGCCANGGCCACCUCAUGCUGCCCACAUGGNUGGAUUAUGAACCAAGGAAACUGCUAUCACAUGGUGGAUAAAGAAAGGUCUUGGGAAGAAGGCCAGAUCGACUGUUCCUCUCUUGGUGCUACCUUGGCNGAGAUCAAUAACUUAGAAAAACUGAAUGUUGCAAUUUAUGACAAAGGCCCUCUCAACCACUGGAUCGGGCUCUUCAGAGGUACAACAGACGGCUGGAGAUGGCCGAAUGGAUCUGUCUUCAACAACCUGUGAGUUCUUUACCUUCCUCACUGAUGNGUNCUCCUCUGUUGUCA
rnacentral:lncRNA from 1 species